AUGAGCAACAGGUUGCUCUGCUGUGUUGUCAUUUGUCUUGUCAAAGUAGAUCUCAAGGAUGCUCUGGUCACACAGUUCCCAAGACAUAGGAUCUUGGGGACAGGAAAGGAAUUAACCCUACAGUGCUUGCAGGAUAUGAAUCAUGUUUCAAUGUUCUGGUAUUGCCAAGACCCAGGAUUUGGGCUACAGCUGAUCUACUACUCAACUGGUACCAACAACUUUGAAAAAGGAGAUGCCCCUGAGGGGUAUGAUGUCUCUCGAAACGAGCUGAACUCUUUUCCCCUGACCCUGGUCUCUGCCAGCACCAACCAGACAUCUGUGUACCUCUGUGCCAGUAGUUAG